GGAUAAAGAGAAGGGCCUUGCUGAGGUCAUUUGCAUUUGCUAUGGCCUCCACUCUUGCUCCUCCGGAUGACCUCCACAUUGCUGGCUUCUUGUUGGGGAUACACACCUACCUACCGAGAGACCUCCAAACAGAGACAUCAACACAGAAACCUCCGCAGAGAUAACCAGAUCUCCAUAUGCAAACCCAUGUAAAAAGAAACCUAGAGAAACAGAUGCCCAGAUGAAGAGGGCAGGUGGAGCUACUGCCUGGAAGGACUCAAUGUGCUUCAGUGGCUGAUGCCCACUCCUUAAAAAACAAAACAAAACCCAAAACAACAAGUGGUAUAGAGAGAAACAAGAAUUACCAAAAGGGAAAAUUA
rnacentral:lncRNA from 1 species